rnacentral:rRNA from 1 species
UAACGCGUGGGUAACCUGCCUUAUACAGGGGGAUAACAGUCAGAAAUGGCUGCUAAUACCGCAUAAGCGCACAGAGCUGCAUGGCUCAGUGUGAAAAACUCCGGUGGUAUAAGAUGGACCCGCGUUGGAUUAGCUGGUUGGUGGGGUAACGGCCCACCAAGGCGACGAUCCAUAGCCGGCCUGAGAGGGUGAACGGCCACAUUGGGACUGAGACACGGCCCAG